rnacentral:rRNA from 1 species
GCAGCAGUGGGGAAUAUUGCACAAUGGGGGAAACCCUGAUGCAGCAACGCCGCGUGAGUGAUGACGGUCUUCGGAUUGUAAAACUCUGUCUUCAGGGACGAUAAUGACGGUACCUGAGGAGGAAGCCACGGCUAACUACGUGCCAGCAGCCGCGGUAAUACGUAGGUGGCAAGCGUUGUCCGGAUUUACUGGGCGUAAAGGGAGCGUAGGUGGAUAUUUAAGUGGGAUGUGAAAUACUCGGGCUUAACCUGAGUGCUGCAUUCCAAACUGGAUAUCUAGAGUGCAGGAGAGGAAAGUAGAAUUCCUAGUGUAGCGGUGAAAUGCGUAGAGAUUAGGAAGAAUACCAGUGGCGAAGGCGAC